rnacentral:rRNA from 1 species
CCUACGGGUGGCAGCAGUAGGGAAUAUUGCUCAAUGGGGGAAACCCUGAAGCAGCAACGCCGCGUGGAGGAUGAAGGUUUUCGGAUUGGAAACUCCUUUUGGUAGAGAAGAGAAUGACGGUAGCUAACGAAUAAGCACCGGCGAACUCCGUGCCAGCAGCCGCGGUAAUACGGAGGGUGCAAGCGUUACUCGGAAUCACUGGGCGUAAAGAGCGCGUAGGCGGGAUAGCAAGUCAGAUGUGAAAUCCUAUGGCUUAACCAUAGAACUGCCUUUGAAACUUUUAUUCUAGAGUAUGGGAGCGGUCGGUGGAAUUCUUUGUGUAGGGGUUACAUCCG